AAAGAUGUGAACCUGACUAUCAACUUCCACUGGUUAUUUAUCUCUCCUCUCAUGUGUUGUUUCAGCUGGGCAUAAGGACACUGAACUAACAGUGACACAACUUCAAAAGAAGGGGCAGAUGGUGCUGCUACUGAUCCCAGCUAUCAAAGAAACACCCUCUUGGGAUGGAGUCACCUUGGAAGACAUUUCUGAGAACUGUAUAUACUGAAACAAGGUCAUGACUUCCCUGCUUUUCUCACAGACCACCUUAAUAAAUAUUGCAUUGAUUCUUUACUAUAUUAGUUGCUACUGUUUUGUCCUUAAUUCAGACUUUUCUGUGCACAGCUGUUGUUUAAAUGUACAAGGUCAACAGGAUAGAGUAGGUCAGACCUGCCUGUAUUUUGCAUGCAUAGAUCGUUUGAUUUUAUGAGGGGAAGGAACUGAUCUAACCUUAUAACUAAUAGUUACAGGUUGGCUUGCAUAACUAUUUGAUGGCAAAGCUUUCCUUGUCAACAAUGAAAAGCAAUAUUGGAUUCAAAUUAACAAAGUUGUAGAAAACGAUAAAUCAGAAUAUACUGAUCCUGGGAAUUAAGGCAACAAAAUGUAUGUCUGUCUUCCACAUGUUAGCCUAACUCCUACUUUCUCUGGAUUCAGAUCUCUUUUGUAAGUCACUUCAUGCAGCCAGAUAGGAAAGCAUUUUCCUCACCUCCCAGCAUGUGUGCAGGAAAGACCCCCACUCCAGUGAAAACUGGGAUCCCUUUAUGGCACAGCUAUCUGACAUGUAGGUGGGAGGACCCUUGACUGUGUCUCUUCUGACACCAUCAGCAUCAUGUGGAAUGGGAAGAGAGGUAUAGGAGGUAUAGAUUUGUUGCUACAUAAUUCCACUAUGGGUCAAGAAUUUUCUGAGCUCCGUACAACAAAAAUUUUUAAUAAGUUGAAUUUCUUUGCAUGUUAGCUCCCCUUGGUAUACUCCUGCAUGUUAGCACCCAGUUACAUAUGUCUGCACACAGGUCUUAAAAUUGGAUAGUGCAUGGUAUAUAAUUUUAACCAAUGAGAUCUUUGGUUAUGAACAAUUCUACAGUUACAAAGCAGAAACACAAAGGAUGAAGAAAAGAAGGGAAUGAAAAACAGUAACUUAGAGGGGUACUUUUUAUAAAAACAUUGUCAUGAUUUAUUAAAAUAUGGAAUUUUAUAGAGCAAAGUAUAUUCGCACCUGCUAGAGACAUUGAGAAAUUGGGUAUAGGCAAGGUAGAAUUGAACAUUCAUUCUCUUUUUAUGCACUUUAUUAACUUGGGAUAUCAUAUCUAUUUUAUAAUCAGCUCUGGUUUUAUUUUUAUCUGUCUAUGGCCUGAUGCAGUGUCUUCUUACCAGGAAAGACUAUUCUUUGAAUAGAGAAAAUAGAAUUUUGUCCUUUUGUUUGUUGAUUUUAUCUGCUCAUUAGAGUUCACUUUUGUCUGAGCUCUUAACAAUCUGUCACUAUAUCUUGAGAGUCUCCCUGGAUCGUUCCGUGAUAACUGGGAGACUGUAUAAAACAACAAAUUAUUUUAAAAAAAGGUAUAGGGUGUAACAGAAGGUUGCUCUAUAAUUUGUUGUAAUUGUUACUUUGACUCACUUGUCUAUUCUAUACAAAUUUUACAAUGUUAUUAGAAUUAGUGCGUGUCAAAAAAUAGUAAAAGAAAAAAAUCAUACAGGCUCCUAUUUCAAGAGAGUUAUUAAUAGAAGAACCUGAUUUUAACUACAGCAUUAAUAAACAAUACCUGGUUCUGCCUUUUUAAAUCCAACAAAAGUCAAACAAAUUGUGUGGAUGAAACUGAAGUUUGUUUAGACUGUUUUAUUUUGCUUGGUACUAGGAUAGAAUGUGAAACUAAAUAUGUUCAUGCAAAGAUGACUGAAGUUCCUGCUCCUGUUUAGAUUUCAUCGUCUGUUAGAAAUCUCCUAGGUGAUUAAACUAAUGCACUGUAAAAGAAUGAAUCAGUCCUGCAGUGCUCUUCUCUGUACAGAGAAUAACUUGCUCGGUUAAGUACUAUUGGGGUUUCACUAAAUUAAAAUCCUAGGAAUUU